UAGAUACCCAUAAUGAAGACACUCUUCACCUUCUUCUCCUAGAAGAUACUAAAGAAGGAACUCAGGAGACUUAGAAGGAUUAAAUCUUAGAUUAACUCACUAUCCAUGAUAUUGACUUAAUCACAUGAUUAAGUUAAUCAGGAUAUAUUUGACAGUCAUAUUGUCACCCCACCAUAUCUUAUAUGUGGUAUUUCCUUCUAUAUAGUAUCAACUCCAAUC
rnacentral:lncRNA from 1 species